GAGUUUGAUCCUGGCUCAGAACGAACGCNGGCGGCAGGCCUAACACAUGCAAGUCGAGCGAUCCCUUCGGGGAUAGCGGCGGACGGGUGAGUAACGCGUGGGAACGUACCCUCUUCUGCGGAAUAGCCACUGGAAACGGUGAGUAAUACCGCAUACGCCCUUCGGGGGAAAGAUUUAUCGGGGGAGGAUCGGCCCGCGUUGGAUUAGGUAGUUGGUGGGGUAAUGGCCUACCAAGCCUACGAUCCAUAGCUGGUUUUAGAGGAUGAUCAGCCACACUGGGACUGAGACACGGCCCAGACUCCUACGGGAGGCAGCAGUGGGGAAUCUUAGACAAUGGGCGCAAGCCUGAUCUAGCCAUGCCGCGUGAGUGACGAAGGCCUUAGGGUCGUAAAGCUCUUUCGCCUGUGAUGAUAAUGACAGUAGCAGGUAAAGAAACCCCGGCUAACUCCGUGCCAGCAGCCGCGGUAAUAAGGGCG
rnacentral:rRNA from 1 species